rfam:Jonesia denitrificans DSM 20603, complete genome.
GCGUUCGUAGCUCAACGGAUAGAGCAUCUGACUACGGAUCAGAAGGUUGGGGGUUCGAAUCCCUCCGAGCGCA